rnacentral:rRNA from 1 species
CGGGAUGCAGCAGUCGAGAAUUUUUCUCAAUGGGGGAAACCCUGAAGGAGCGACGCCGCGUGGAGGAUGAAGGUCUUCGGAUUGUAAACUCCUGUCAUUUGAGAACAAACUGCACGGGUUAACUGCCUGUGCACUGAUAGUAUCAGAAGAGGAAGAGACGGCUAACUCUGUGCCAGCAGCCGCGGUAAUACAGAGGUCUCAAGCGUUGUUCGGAUUCAUUGGGCGUAAAGGGUGCGUAGGUGGUCGGGUAAGUCGGAUGUGAAAUCCCGGGGCUCAACCCCGGAACUGCAUUCGAUACUGCCUGGCUAGAGUACUGGAGAGGAGAUUGGAAUUUACGGUGUAGCAGUGAAAUGCGUAGAUAUCGUAAGGAAGACCGGUGGCGAAGGCGGAUCUCUGGACAGUUACUGACACUGAGGCACGAAGGCCAGGGGAGCAAACGGGAUUAGAUACCCCCGU